UUUAUGGAGAGUUUGAUCCUGGCUCAGGAUGAACGCUGGCGGCGUGCCUAAUACAUGCAAGUCGAGCGAACGGAUGAGAAGCUUGCUUCUCUGAUGUUAGCGGCGGACGGGUGAGUAACACGUGGAUAACCUACCUAUAAGACUGGGAUAACUUCGGGAAACCGGAGCUAAUACCGGAUAAUAUUUUGAGCCGCAUGGUUCAAAAGUGAAAGACGGUCUUGCUGUCACUUAUAGAUGGAUCCGCGCUGCAUUAGCUAGUUGGUAAGGUAACGGCUUACCAAGGCAACGAUGCAUAGCCGACCUGAGAGGGUGAUCGGCCACACUGGAACUGAGACACGGUCCAGACUUCUACGGGAGGCAGCAGUAGGGAAUCUUCCGCAAUGGGCGAAAGCCUGAC
rnacentral:rRNA from 1 species